rnacentral:rRNA from 1 species
CACGUAGGGGACGAGCGUUGUCCGGAUUCAUUGGGCGUAAAGCGCGCGUAGGCGGCUCGGAAAGUCGGUUGUGAAAUGCCGGGGCUCAACCCCGGGACUGCGUCCGAUACUUCCGGGCUGGAGGUAGGUAGGGGAGAUCGGAAUUCCUGGUGUAGCGGUGAAAUGCGCAGAUAUCAGGAGGAACACCGGUGGCGAAGGCGGAUCUCUGGGCCUUUACCUGACGCUGAGGCGCGAAAGCUAGGGGAGCGAACAGG